rnacentral:rRNA from 1 species
UACGUAGGGUGCAGGCGUUAAUCGGAAUUACUGGGCGUAAAGCGUGCGCAGGCGGUUUGCUAAGACAGGUGUGAAAUCCCCGGGCUUAACCUGGGAACUGCGCUUGUAACUGGCAAGCUUGAGUGUGGCAGAGGGGGGUGGAAUUCCACGUGUAGCAGUGAAAUGCGUAGAUAUGUGGCGGAACACCGAUGGCGAAGGCAGCCCCCUGGGCUGAGAUUGACGCUCAGGCACGAAAGCGUGGGGAGCAAACAGG